rnacentral:rRNA from 1 species
CGGAAGGGACACCAGGAGUGGGGGCUGCGGGUUAAUUUGGUAAAGGGGGGAGACUCACCCGGCCCGGACACAGUCUGGAUUGAUAGAUUGAUAGAUAUUUCAUGAUUGAUUGGGUGGGGGGGGAUGGGUGGUCUUACUUCGGGGAUGGAUUUGUUUGAAUGGUGAUAUCAGAUAACGAACGAGACUCUACCGCGGUGACUAGUGUUAGACUACCUUCCGUGGCUUAACUUCUUAAAUUGACCAGUGCCGUUUAGCCACAAGAGAUAGUGCGAUAACCGGUCUUAAUGCCCUUACAUGCCCAGACACGCCCGCUCGCUAAAGUGAACUAAUCCGCGUGCGUUCUUCCUGAGCCGUAAGGACUGGGUGACCCGUUACCGGCCUUCGUGCUAGGGAUUGGGGAUUGCAUUGCUCCCUAUGAACAAAGACUUCGCAGUACGACGAGUCAUAAGCUCGUGUAGAUUACGUCCCUGCCCCUUGUACACGCCGCCGGUCGCUACUACUGAUGGGAUGCUUUAGUGA